CCUGAUGUCUUGAUGGGAUCAUGAUGGUAUUCACGUUUGAGAGCAGUUGACCUUGGCAUUGACCGCUAAACCAAACUGUCAGUUGCGUUGUGUGCUUUUAAUUAGCGUCGACGAAUUUUAGGGCGGGUGAAAUGUGGUGAAACGUAGGUCUGUUAUUAGGCUAGCUUUUAAUGGCCGUUUUUAUACUAGAGACGCAUUAUGCGUCUGGACGAACUUGGGCGAGCAUUUGUUGUUCGUCUGGUUAUGCGUCCUUAGUAUAAAGACGGGCACAAAACGCAUUGUGCGUCUAUGUCCUCUAUUAACUAUGGCCGUUUUUAUAUUAGAGACGCAUUAUGCGUCUGGACGCAUAAUCCGUCUUCUACAUUAUUCGUCUAGUAUUAUUUAGUCCAACAGAUGGUAGCUUCGCACCAUUGUCUUUUCAGGCAAGUGCAUGAGCCAAUUGUCUGAAUCUGCGGUUCCUCUCGUACUGAGCAGAAUUACUCAGGCUAAGUAUUAUUCGUCCCUGCGUCCCGUCUUUAUACUAGACGAAUAAUGUAGAAGACGGUUAUGCGUCCAGACGCAUAAUGCGUCUCUAGUAUAAAAACGGCCAAUAUAAAGGGACGGACCAUUAGAAAAGGGGGGGGGGGGGGGGGGUGGAAGUGGGACUUUUUUAUAACUUGUACGAAUAUUUUUUUAAAUUUUUUGCUUGUGUCGAUAAUUUUUUAAAAUAUAAUCCCUUGCACGAAUUUUUUUCAUUUCACGAAUAUUUUUUUUCGAACUUUCUUGGUGCACAUUUUUUUUUCUUUCUGUCUCCCCUGCGCGAUUUGGGGGAGGGGGAUUUGGGGAAAGGGCAACCCCCAAAACAUUUAAAGUUGAAAACCCGAAAAUUUCAAUGUCAGAAACAAACAAAUAGUUGGAUAUCAGAAAGUGUUAUUCUCUCUGGAACCAAAAUAUAUGAAAUUCUUUUAAAUGUACGACAUAUCUGCAAUCCACCCUAAUUAAUUGCCUGGAUACGGAUGACUCAGUGUCCGUCAGACACUCAGACGAAGGAAUUCAGUUUCUAGUAAAAUUGGGUCAAUAUUUUAUACAGUUCGUGUGGAUAGUACCCUGGGUACCAGGAGGCUCUGAGUAUGUGGAUAGCGUAAUUGAAAAUGAAAAGAGUGCGCCCCCAGGCCAACAUCGAUUUCAAUUUUACCUCAGAUUUUACAUUGUAACAGCUGUUCAAAUGAGCUGGAUCAUAUUUAAAAUCAAAAUAUGAUUCCGGAAACUACAUCACUUGAAGCACUAGAAACAUCAUUGAGUCAGUUACGGUAUUGAUUUUAGGUAUUUGUGGCUAGAAUAAAAAUUUUGAUAUAAAAUCAUCUUUAGACAAUUGUUCAGUAUUUUACAGUACAGAAUUGUCUUCUUAGAUCUGGAAGUCAGAAUACGAAGUCAGAUACAUGUAAAACAUGCCUAUUACUGUCGAUGCAAUGGAAGUGUUGAUAAAAUAUUGCACCAAACAGUAAUACCAAUGACGCCCGUACGUAAUUACCACAAACUGACACUAUAAAACACAGUUUUUAAUCCAGCCCCCCUCGCCUGCCGACAAUAACAUUCAUUUUCUCGACAUCGCUUGCAUGAGCACCCUAAUGUCUUGUGAUGGUUAGCCUGCGUAGCAGUCGCUUUAUUUUAUUCUUCGCCCGUUUUUUCUCAUCCUUUUUUUUCUUCGUCCAUUUUUUAACUCGCCAUUUAUUCAAAAAUCCUCAAAACCUACAAUAAAAUAAAGCGACUGCUUCGCAGGCUAUGUGAUGGCUACUAACUCUUGACGAAGGUCCUUCGCUCGAAACGUCGAGUUUCUGCUUAUUUUUUAAAGUAGUAAUAUAACCACUCAGCACAGCAUGUGAUGAUCGGUUGUCAAUAUCAAGUUCUUGUUUCCUGAUGAAGGAGAGUCGUCGACCUUGGCUUUCCGGCAGAAAACGUGAUCCGUCUGGUCUUUUCUCAGGUUUCAGUGUUGAGAUUGUAUUGGGUGUAAAUACCCUGGGAUGAAACGUAUAGGUGGGUUUUAAUCAAACACCUGCUAUCCUGGCUAAUUUAAUAAUCAUAGAUGGUCAACCUACAGUUAUCAGAGUGGAAAAGUAAUGAAGCAUUAUAUGGGGGAAGUUGACGACUAGCCAUUAUAUGGGGGAAGUUGACGGCUACCCUAGCCCAUUCCCCCGUUUCCACACUCCCG
rnacentral:lncRNA from 1 species